CGAGCUGCCCUGUUUGUUUGUGUAGCGAGAUGUUGGAAAUGGCGGAGAGGAGAGACCAACGCGACAAUUAAAGAUUUCAAAAAUUAAUACACUGCAAAUGCCUAUUAUAAAACAGCCAUGAAACAGAUUCCAGGAUAACUUUAUUUUUUCGCAGCCGACUGGAGUACAUCUGGACAAGGAGAAAAUUUUUUUGAUAAGCUUUGAAUUAGCAAGCUUGCAGCUAGCUUGCGAACUCGUCAGUGCGAUUUUUACUCCGGUUGUCCAAAAUCCUGUUAUAAGAGAAGAUUAUUGACAGAAGUUGCAGAAAUACAGCAGAAGGCCUCCCUGCCCUCUCUCCUCCCCAGGGAUGGUGCUGCAUGCCAGGCAGGCCAGGGAGCCGUAGCCCCCCUGCCCUGGUGCUCUCAGCCAGCCUGACCAGCAGCAGCCCAUCCAGAGACCAGAGGACUGGACCCCCAGCACGGCACCCCCUCACAUGACACCCUCCGGAGCCCUACAUCAAGUACGUACCUCAGCCUCGCCUCUCCCCUCCUCACCUCUCCCUUCC